UUAAUAGAGUUAUAGAUCUAUACUAAAUAUCCGGAACUCUUCGGUAAAUCUCGGCCUCGGAAAUCUAUUUUCGGCGAGGCAUGCUAGCGCGCUAGUGCCCAUGUGCGUUUCAAAUUCACUCGCUAAAGCUCACCGACGCCCGUUACAGUUUAUCGCUUCAUCCAAUAUUUACGCCCGUUAGAAUCUGAUCUUACUGCACUUUGUCUUAAUCUUCUUGAAUUGAUAAGGAUAUCAACCAUGUGCGUCUUAGUACACUGGGUGGAAACAAGGAACUGUUACUUCUAGCGAUUUUGUAAGAAACAAAAAGAUGUCGGUCAACUCGGUGGACCCGAAGUUUGAGGGCCUGGUGGAGUCCGGAACCCCGCAGAGAAACGGCCGAAACAUUGGCUGGGAUGUGGAAGGCCAAGGUGUUAGUGGCCAGUGAAAAAAAAGCUGAUGUACUAAAGAAAGAGAAGGAGUUCCUAAAC